rnacentral:lncRNA from 1 species
UUUUUUUUUGGUGUUUCUUGUUAGUUACACGUGCCUUUGUUUUUUGGCAAAGAAUAGCUUCUUAGCAGUACAACUUUCGAAAUUAUAGCACCUUCUCUUUCUUAUGAUAAACUUACGCUAAAAGAUUUGCUCAUACCGUGAUGUUCUUCUUAUGGCAGGAGUAUAUCGUAGAGGAUCUUGAAGGAGCUGAUCCAGUGGCAGACCUUGAUCCUAGCCAUGUUACGGAGCUGAGGACGCUGGGGCUCUAUUGAGCAUAGCCGCAUAUAGCAUCAGGUUGGCAGUUUAAGUUGCUGUUGAUUUACAGCAUUCUCUUAGUCGUUAUGGGUGCACUCUCUACUCGUCUAGAAAUCACUCUUCGCAGCUUGCAGAAGUAUAUGUAACAGCUCGUACAAAACGCUGUAACAAACAUCCCCUUCCACGGUUCAAAUUUCAUAAUGGCCAUUCCAUUAUCACACAAAAAAUGCCCCUUUUCGCUAUCAUUUCGUAAGCAGCUAGUACCGGGUUUCCAUAUCCCUUCCAGACCGCAAGGCCCUGAAAUCCUGCGCUCUGGGCGUUCCGUGCUGUGUCGCCGUGUAAUUUCGUUUGGGCUGAGCUGGGUGGUUCCUCCAAUCAAAUGGCAACGCCACUCUAUGCAUGGACCCCAUCCAUCCAUCUCUCCUUUUUCUUUUGUCCCUAAGGUUCUGAUCCCUCUUGAUCUUUCUCGUAUCCCCUCGGUUUCUUCCUUGCGCUCACUUCGAUUGGCUUGGUGGCGCCUGUCAUCGCCCCUAUUUUGCCUGGCCGGGCGAAGGAAAAUUCUGCUGCGCCAUUGUUGUGCUGGAGGCCGGUCAACACUGCCAUCACAGGUGAGAAAUGUCACUGUCUCCCCAGCCCACCAUUUCCUCGAUUUAGAAGAAGGAUCAGUACGGGUGUGUUUGGUAGAGUGCAUGAGCUCAAGAGUUCCUUCCUCGACCCACUUUUGGGUGGCCGACUCAGCAUGCACGAGCUCAGCCUAAAUACCCUCUUAGCAUGCACGAAGAGAGAACGCCCCAUGCACGAGCGAAGCGAGCGACAAUGUGUUUCAAAAAAUGUUCAGAAUUUCUAAAAAACAAUUUGAUUUUCAGAAAAUGUUCAAAUUUUCGAAAAAUGUCCAGAUUUUCAAAAUUUGUUAAAAUUUUCGAAAAAUGUCCACAUUUUCAAGAUUUGUUCAUUUUCAAGAUUUGUUAAGAUUUUUAAUUUUUUUUCAGAUUUUAAAUUUUGUUGCAAUUUUUAAAAAAGUUCGGAUUUUCAAAUUUUGUUUAAAUUUUAAAAGACCAAACUUUCAUUUUUAAAAUUAAUAAAAAACUUUAGAAUUUCAAAAAAUGUUAUUUUUCCAUGUUUAAGAAAACUGUUAACAUUUUUGAAAUGUUUUGUUCACUUAUUUGAAAAUACCGGUUGCUACAGUGCCGACCGACAUGUCUAAAUAGAUGGAAGCUGCCAAACAGAGUCUUAACUUAGCAUGUCUCAGCACAUACACUGCUAUCAAACAACAGCAAAUGCAUGUACUCAGCAUGUCUACACCGAGCAUGUAUCAGAUGAGAGCAACCAUGAUAGGUUGGGAAUGCUACCGAACACACGCGUGUGGGCAUUCUGUUGUUCUUGUUGGUCUUUCGUGCUUGGACCGACGAGUGAUAGAUAAGGUUUUCACUGUUUUGUAUUACUACCAUGUGGUUUUGCUCAGCUGCAUCGAGCGUCCACGAAAUGAGAUGCUCUAGCAAAGACCACUCCUACCCUUUUUUUUUGUGAGCGGUACUCCUACUAUUAGCCAGGCCUUAUUUUUGUGUCCGUAUUACAACUAAAGUGGGCUCACGACAAAGGGCCCAGUAACUCGUCUGGGCGGCGUAUUGGGCUUCCGUAACGCCAUCUCGGCUUCCAGGGGGUCCGCAAUCCACACGACACGCUGAAGAAAACUAGGGCGGGCCCAGUAGCUGGGCCUUUUUCCUUAGGAAUUUACACCUAAAGUGGGCCCAGUGGCUCGUGUGACCGGGGUUGGGCUUUGAUAACGCCAGCCCGGCUUUCCGGGUCCGCAAGAAACUAGGGUUAAAGGGCACCACUAUAUAAGCCGCCACAUACCCUCCCCUUCCAACACCGCAAGCCGCCUCGCCGCAAGAUGUGUUCCCUCGCUCGCCGCAAGAUGUGUUCGCUCGUCGCCGCCGGCUCGUUUCUUCUUCCUCGAGUUUCCCCUCUCGUUUCGAUCAAAUAUUCGAUCUUUCUUUGUUUGGGGCCUGUGAUGUGAACAAUUUGUCCGUACCAUCUGACAUCUCUGAUGAUCCACAUUUGCUAAUGUAUCUCUGAGGUCCCCCUUCUGGUUCUUCCCCAUCUUGUUUUGGUUUCGAUCUUGAUUUUUUUACCUAUGGAUCUCUGUUUUAUCUGUCGCUCAGCCAUGGAAAGGCAACAAAUUAGAUUCUCUGAUGCGCUAAACUCCAUAGCGACUUUGGUGCUGUACGUUGCCGAGAGCGACCCCGGCGACAGUUAUCAUGCGUGCGCCGUCUUCUCGUACGGCAUGCGCAUCCCUGUCCCCUACAUCUCCUUUGUAUGAAUGAGUCUUGUAGUCCUUCGAGGCAAACAAAUUAGAGUCUCUGAUGCGCUAAACUCUGUAGCGACUUCGGUGCUAUACGUUGCCGAGAGUGAUUUUGGAACGAGGUAUCAUGCGUUCGGCGGCUCGCGUACGGCGUGCGCAUCCCUAUGUUCCACACUUUUUAGCUUUGCCUUCUUAAUCACAAAACAAAAAACAUGUGAAAAUGAUGGGUCUGAAUUCUUUGAUUUUUUUGUUGCGCUUUCCUGUUUACUUGAACCUUUUGUGCUUGUGUUUGGAAUCAGUCCGUGAUGUCUACUAAACGAACUCUCUUCACUAGACGUAAGGUCUAAUUCCAGGACUGCAUGGCAACAAUGAAAAUGAGUGAAUGAACAUAAGUGCUUGCACGUUCUCUUUUAAAAAGAGAAGAAUAAGGAACGAAAGCAGCGUGUUAAGUUCAUUACAGGCCGUUGAUACCGUUCAAAUACCACAACAUCAACAGCCAGGAAAAUUUAUAUCAGCCAGCCGCACAUCACCAAACUGAAAUGAAAUAGAAUCUGUGCCAGAAUGGUUGAUGUUCUGUUUUUAGCUGGGCUGGAGAGUGGGCAGAGCCCUUUCGUCCAUGAAUAGCAAUCUAUACUAGUAGAAACAAUGGAACCCAACUCUUUUGUCCAUGAAUAGCAAUCUAUACUGAAACAAUGGAACCCAAAGCUUGCCUAAUUAGUUUGACAAGCAAGUUACAUUUUCACUGAGAGCAGGCAACUCUUGGUUAGUAUAGCAGUUUACUAAAAACAUAAAUAGAUGGGAGUCAUUCUCCAGAACUAUGCAAAUAACAGACAAGUAGAGACGAGAAACCACCUGUUUCUAUCUUGUAGUACAUGCUGAGGAUCAAACGCAAAGAGUGAUUUCCGGAUCAAACGCCUGUAGCAAACAGGAAACAGCUUGAACUGCUUUUCCCCCGAAUUAGAAGCAUCACAGAGUAUUGAAGGUGAAAUUUCACAUUUUUUCACUCGAUAUUGUUGAGUCUGUCUAUGUUUGUGGUCUAUUUUUUUGUCCUAGUUUUUUUUCUAGUUGCUGUAUUAUAUAUUUGUGGGAGCUUAGAUGUGACAUCCUUAAAAAACAUUUAGAUGUGAAUUAGACAAACUUUCUAAGGCUGGAGCUACUCCAGAAACGGCUGGAGCUUAGCCGCCACGCUAUCAAUCAGGAGUUCCUUCUUUCAUUGUUGCCUCACGAGCAUCAAUCUACUUUUUUUGGGGCCUGUGAUGUGAACAAUUUGUCCGUACCAUCUGACAUCUGUGAUGUUCCACAUUUGCUAAUGUUUCUCUGAGUCCCCCCUUCUGGUUCUUUCUCAUCUGGUUUUGGUUUAUGAAUUUUUCCUCAUUGCUGUUUUUAUUGAUAUCUGUUUUUGCUGACGCUCAGCCAUGGAAAGGCAACAAAUUAUAGUCUCUGAUGCGCUAAAUUCCAUAGCGACUUUGGUGCUGUACGAUGCCCAGAGCGACCCCGGCGAUAGUUAUCAUGCGUGUGCUGUCUUCUCGUGCGGCAUGCGCAUCCUUAUCCCCUACACCUCCCGAGUUUCGUGUGAAUUGAUCUUUUGUUUUUCGAGGCAACAAAUUAGAGUCUCUGAUGCUCUAAACUCUGUCGUGACUUCGGUGCUGUACGUUGCCGAGAGCCAGCUGGGAACGGGUUCACGUACGGCGUACUCGAACUCUUUUUCCCACACAUUUAGACCAGAUAGGUUCACAUGUUUACGAAUAUAUAUGAAUUAUUACAAAAGGUUGCAGUUUGAUUUUUCCAGAUUUUUUUAGAUUUUCAUUCGAGCUUACCCAUCCUUUUAAGACGGGGCAAGUAAAAGCUUAGUUUUUAUUUUGUGUCGUGCAAAAAUAUGACUCUGACGAUUGUUAUCAGUGUCAGAUAAAAAAUGCUUAAUGGAAAAUAAACAAAACCAGUGUCACAACAGUUGUAAGUUCAUUACAGGCCUUUAUUUAUAAAACCUGUGGCAGCCAGUUAAGCUCAUGAGAAACUGAAACUGCAUCUGGACUUAUGGGGCCUGCAUGGACGAUGUUCUGUUAUUAUGACAACAAUUUUCAUUUGAGAGCAGGCGUGCUCCUUGUUCAUGGGAUGAGAUGGACAGUGGAUUGACAGUAUCCGAAUCAAAUAACGAAAUAAAAUGUAGCUAUUUUAUCAAAUCCUGAUUUGUCAAUUUCUAGUUACAAAGAUGGUCAGGCGUCCAGAAACCGCCUGGUUCAUCCUUGCCACUGCCAGUCAAAUGGUUGAAUUUUAUAGGACUAGAUAAUAUGUUAUCAGAAGCCUGAACUGGUGGUUCCUAGCAUUAGAAGCAUCAGAGAAUAUUGUGAAAUACGUUCUCUUUACCAACUUAGUAUGAUAUCCAAGACAUUCAGGCUCACUUCCUUUUGGCUGGAGCUUCUCCAAACAUGCCUGGAGUUAUGUGCGCACAGAAACAAUGUUAUCUUCCAUCUCUCGAGCAUCAAUCCAUCUACCUUUGGGGCCUGUGAUGUGAACGAUUUGUCUGUACCAUCUGACAUCUCUGAUGAACCACAUUUGCUAAUGUAUCUCUGAGGUCCCCUUGUGUUUCUUACCCAUCUGGUUUUGGUUUUGAUCUUUAUCUUCCCCACAUUGUUUCUCCGAUUGCCGUAGUCGAUUUAUAUCUCUGAUUUAACAAUGGAAGGAAGGCAACAAAUUAGAGUCUCUGAUAGUUAUCAUCCAUGACCCGUCUUCUCGUAUGUCCUGUGCAUCCCUAUCCCGAACACCUUCUUCAGUAUGACUUCGAGGCAACAAAUUAGAGUCUAAACUCCGGACUUCGUGCUAUACGUUGCUGAGAGCAAUUUUGGAACGAGUUUUCAUGUGGGCGCCGUUGCGGGCUAGUGGCUACACAUCCCUUUGUCCCAUGCUUUUACCUUUUUAACCCAAAAUAUAGAAAAUUGUUUCAUUUGGGUCCCUCCUUUUUUAGGUAUGUUCCUGUUUACAAGGCCUUUUCUUUAUAACAGUAAUUAAAUAAAAAAUUAUUCACCCUAAAAAAUAUAUUUAAUGCCCAAACCUUUGAAGACAACUUAGACUUUACUCCAUCUGUUUCAAAAUAUUGAAGUUCUAGGUUUGUCCUAAGUCAAACUUCUUAAUUACUGUUAAGUCAUGGAAACUAAUUUUGUUACAAGAACCUAGAACUUCAAAAUAUAGAAAGUUGCGGGCUAGUUUCAUCUACAACAUGAAUCUAAGAACUGCAAGGCAGCAAAUUAGAGUCUCAGAUGCGCUAAAUUCUGUAGUGCCUUCAGUGCUGUACUCUGCUUAGUGAGUUGAGAACAAGUUAUUGCCCUGUCUCGCAUCCCUUUGACCUUGUUUUUUCAAAACUAUUGGGACAUGCAAGAACAACAAUCCAAUCUUUCUGUAUGGAAUUAAUGCAGGGAUAAAUAGUGAUGCUUUAAUCCAAAAACAUUAUCUGACAAUGUAUCUCAGUAUGGGAUCCACUAUGCCCAAAACGAUUCUUUGCAAAGAACUUUGGAUGCAUACUAUACUAGUACAAGACUUCAGGUCCAAUCCUUUGCAUAUCCAUGACCGUGUUGCUGUCUGCAUGCAGACACUGGAAAUGAGUGACUGAUGAAAAUAAAUGUCUGCAUUGUUCUUUUCCAUGUAAAAAGAUGGAGGAAACUUAUACCGUAGAAGCUAAUUUUGGGACUACCAAAUGAUUGAAUAUACCUUGGACUCUAGCAAUAAUCCUCUAACUAUUGGCUCACAUACAUAUUGAGGAUCAUCCACCUGUUGCAAUCUGCAAACUAUUUUGAAUGUUGGUUCCCAGAAUUAGUCAUAAGAGAAUAUUAAAGGUGAAUUAUGAGCUCUACUUGAUCCAGAAACGAGAAAACACGGUUAUUUGCAUCAAUCCAACAGAAGUAUGAUUUCUCAAACAUUUUAGUGACAUAGUUUUCUUGAUGAAAAAAAUGUGCAGAUAUGAAGUACUUAACUCAAAAGCUUCAGCUAUUGCAAGCCUUCUCAUCUGAGUUUUUGAGGCCUUGAAGAUCAAGCAGACAAGUGGUCUAGAGUAGAACAACCAACGGGCAGUUCAGCUACCCUAAGACAGUAGUUAGACUGUCAUGCAAUGCCUUGCCUUGUCAUUUUGUUUCAGCUCUUCGCUGCAAUUGUAGGCUGCAGUCUGCAGAGCCGUCAUCCUGUAGAUACCUGGUCAUCUUGUUUCCUACCUGAACCUCCAAUAGUCCUACUAUUCUCUCUUAAUUGAUUAAGCUGAACUGCUGCCACUAUUCUUAAUACAAAAAGGAAAAUGUAAUUAGUUGAUGUUGAUUAUUGAGACAACUGAGUUGCGAUUCAAAGUCACACGGAGUAAGGAGUUUGAACUUUGAAAUUACAGUCUUGCCCAUAUGAGUUGUCUUGCCUGAAUCAAACUUCCUAUUUUCAUUGCCUCCUUUUGAAGCCAAGAAUAUAUGCUCCAUUUUGUAUGCUUAUAGACAUAGACUUCUUGCAUAUAUCUUUCUGAAAGUAACAGAAUAUAUGGGGAGAUAUUACUUUGUCCACUAACCAAGCAUCUCCCUCUUAGCAGUUAACUUCUUACCAGUUUGUUUGAUGGUCUAAUUAUUGGUGCUCCAUUAGUUCGUCUUCUUUUUUCUUUCCACCUCCCAUCAAUUUCUUUGAUUUCCCAAAUGACAUCCUCCAAAUUUUCGUAUUUCCCAGGUGUUGGUAUUUUUUCUACCAAUUUCCCUCCAAAUUAAUAUGAUAUUUGUAUUUGCUUCAGACAACAUGAAAUUGGAGUUUAAAUUCUUUUCUGUAGACAAUUCAUUCUUCCAGCCUACUGACUGUAAUGGAUCAAUAAUGAUUAUUCUCCUAGGUUGGCAACCAGGACACCAGAGUGAAAGUGACAUGGGAAUUUAUGCUGGUUGGGGUGCAAAAGAAUGCACUCCACUCCUGUCGAUGCACCAAGCUUCAUGUUUUGGAGGGGUACCUCUUGCUCAUGGUGUCCUUAUUCGUGUAUUGAUGGAGAGAGUUCGAUGUACAAGUGUGACUUACGUGCAAUAUCUUGUGGCCCUUUACAGAGUAGGAUGCCCCUUGGCGCUGUCACAAAAGCAGGGGCAGACUUGUUCUUGGCUCUCUAUGUUGUGGGGUCUCUGACUGUAGGUUCUACCGGGGGAGGUUGUCCCAUGGGCCAACUAAAGUAGGGUCCCUGGGAAGAUGGAUCUCUCCUUGGGCCAUAAGGGGGGUUUCUUCCCUCCGAGGCCACCAAGGGAUCUUCUUGGAGGUGUUAAGUGGGUCUCUUCUAUCACCCCUCUGUGGGAGAUGCCAGGGACCUAUUAGAGGCGUAAGGAGGCGACCUGCUAUGGAUCGUCCUUGCCUCAUUAUUUGCAUAAGACUUCUUGAAAACAGUACAUCCUCAUAACCAUGUGAGGUUAUCAUCCUCGAACUCCUGAAGUGUGGAAAAUGUUCUUUCGAUGUGUCCUCUCCAGGCUACUGUUACCUAGUCCUAAACCUUCUGUCUUAGAAAAUUGGCAAGUACAUGACCAAAGGUCCCCACUUUCAUCUAACAAGGCAAUAUGAUCACACUAUGAGUGCCAGUUCUUGUUUGCUAACCGUUUUUAAAACUCUUAAUCAUUAACAGAAGCCAUCCUGAGUUCCUGACAAUGACCUGAAACAUCUGAUGACGUGUAUAUGAAGGAUAUUCGAUGUUGUGAGUGGUAGACAUCAUGUACAUGUUCUCUUAAUUCAACUCAUUUUUUUGUGAUGCAAAAAAUUGCCUGCACUACCUGUAUGCAAAGUCUGGUGGCAACAACUCAAACAAUGAUACGAGUAGUCUUCAUAACAUUAGGCAUGCCAUUAUUUUGCAGUUCAGGACCCUACAGAUUCUUUACUUUUUUCUUUUUUAUGAACAAAAAUGUAAGCGAGCAUAGCUUUGGUAAUCUGAGUUAUGAAGUCACGAGUCAUCAGCUGUAACACUUCCCGACAAAUGGCAACACAUCAAAUUGGGGAAUUUAUGGACAACUAGAAUAGAACACAUGUUCGAGAAUUUGAAUAGAACAGAUCCAGAAGGUGUGAGACUGCUGACUCCUUCAUCAGUUGCAGCUAUUUCCAGUUACGCCGUGUCAUGGUCAUGGGUCGGUGCCAUUAUUGUGUCUAGAGAAGUCAUCUAAUGUUCUUGAGAUGAUGUAUCUAUGCAUCUGAUGACCGAGCAUUCAUUUCCCUGUGAUCCAACACAAGGCACUAUCUUCUGGACAGCUGUUUAAGCAUGGGCAUAGUUGGUGAAGCUACCAAAAAUGUGUUGGGUGAUAGUUCAGGAAUCAGCUCUGUCCCAAGCCUGUUUACCACAAAUUCAUCUCUUGAAGCCCUGAAUUGCGCUCAUGAUUAAGUUGUGGGGAGAUUACUAGCACCAGUUACACCGCCUCACCACCUGGGGACCUCUCCCCCAUGUGACUGUUUUAUCCAUCUACAUAGUAUAUCAUAGUACAAAGUUUCAUGGCUAAGUAAACCAAGAGAAUAAUUAACUUACUGAAAACUGAAAUGCCUAGAGAUUAUGUGAGCUAAAGCAUACCAUAGUUGAAAUUAUAUUUGUGAUUUAACCUCCAACAUUUUUUUUCCAGGUAAACAGCAAUGAUGAAAUGGGGAAACCAGCCUAUUUCAGCAUAAUUUGGAAGGCUGAUGUUGCAGGAAUAUUAUCACACUUUUCAUCACGAGGAAUGAAAAAUGGGCCUUUAUGUGGCGCAUAUGUGUAUAUUUUCAAAAGGAAAACAGGUCGUUCCUUUCUAGCCACCAAAUAGAAUUCAUGUUUCUUUUUUGUUUCAUGUAGGGUAGUUUGCUCUCAAAAUAUAGGAGAAUAAGGUGAGUUGCCUUCCACACAUUCUCAACAGAGAGGUUGCAGAAAUGCUAGGAUGCUAUGCUGAAUGUACUUUUUUUGUUAGAUACAUUUCUUUUGUUUCCUUUUCCAGGUUCGUAAUAAAAUGUAACAUUUAAAGUUGGAAAUUUGUUCUCUAUUGUGCAUAUGUUGCAACUCUGUGCUUGGCUAUGCUUCAUCCUUCAAUUAUUUUCAUCAAAUUUAUGAACCAAUUGAUAUCUCUGAAGGUGUACACAAGUUUGUACGCCUAGCAUCCCUGUUCAGAAAAUGAACUAGAGGUUUAUGUCGUAUUGCUUGAACUGUCUGCACCAUCAUAAUUUGCACUGCACAUGCUGCUCUUGUACUGGAGGAUCUUUUUAAUUGUUUCUUCCAUUUCUAUUUUUCUAUGAUUGCUAGUACCUUGGGACUUGUGAUGCGCUACUGAAAUCAAGGACAAACACGUAUGCCAGUAUGUGCCUUGCUGCUGAACUGUUAAUAAUGCAACAAACACCUGAAGGUGGCGAUCAUUAGCAAACCAGCAUGUGCAAGGGCAGUCAAGGUUCUAAAUUUCCAGUGUAUGGUUGAAAUGGCCUGGAUUUUUGAAAGCUCUUGCUAGCAAUACUAACUAUAAUUAAAUAUCAUAAUGUCAAGCGAAACUGAUCUUCUUUGCACGUGAAGCUCUAUGCUAAGUGUGAAUGACCCUAUGGCAUUGCGUGAACUUGAUCAUCAUGCCCUUCCAGUCUUUGCUUUCUAAUUGUUUUGCUCUCACCAUAUUCAUUGCAAGAACUGAAUUAUUAGAGAGAGAGAACAUCCGUGAAUUGUUGAUAAUAUUUUUUUCUUGGAUUUUGUUUGGUAAUGGGCCCCUUAGGAGUCCAUAAAACCUACCCUGGGUUCAAAAUCUGUGUUCACGUGGGGUUACAAAAAUAUCUUCGCAAAAGAAGAAGGGUUAGGCCUUGUUUGAAUUGAGUGUAAUUUUUGUGUGCUCCCUGGUAUUUAGCUACCUUAUCUAUUUUUCUUGGUUGGGUGAUUGGAGAAGCAACACACUUUUUAAUAUAAUGCGAGGAGCAACAUUUUUUUUGACUACUAGUAGUCCCUCAUAUUUGGUCAACUUCACAGGUUACAGCCUUGCCAUAGGGUUCCUUUUUUUAUGUUGAAACGGAUGCCAUAGGGUUCCUUCACUUAGUUGCACUUGACAAAUUAAUUAUUUGGGUUCUUCCAUCAACGCGUGUGCACUGCGAAGCAAUGGUAAAACCAUUUUAAUGUAAGAUGAGGGUAGCAAGUGCCAAUAACACAAGCAACCAUGUGUGCUCAAUUUGGCAAUUAAACAUGGCUGAAUUAUUUGAUAUUUAUUUCUGAUUGGCCUAAACUACUAGUUGCUGGAUGGGACGCCAAUGUGGAUGGUGACACACGAUGAUGACGGUGACGUUGCUGGAAGGAAGGAGUCCCAGUAGGCAGUUAGUUGUCCAGUGAGUGGCAAGGAGUCCCAUUGGAAUUCUCCUUGAUUAGGUGAGAAGUCGUCUCUAUUUUUGGAUGUUAAUUAAUAAAUAUGCAUGCAUUGGGCUGCUGUUUGUUGCAUACCUGAUGUUAUGAAAAUGACAGAAGCAACUAUCAGACGCUUCUAAGUGAGGAAAAAGCUACCUAAAUCAAGUUUGGUCGGCAGCUCAGCUGUUCUCCAGUUGAAUUUCUGUUGAAUGAAGCUAAUUGUUGGUGUGCAUGGGUGAAGGGAACUGGAUCUUUGAAAGUUAUUGCUAACAGAACUACUCCCUCCGUUCGGAAAUAAGUGUCGUGGUUUUUGUUCAAAUUUGAACCACAACCGUGUUAUUUCCGAAAGAGUGAGUACUUUUAGUUUUAGCAUUAUCAAAUAUAUAUCAUAAUGUCAGGUGAAAAUGGCCCUCUUUCCAUGCAGAGCUAUAUUGGCAAGUGUGAAUGACCCUAUGGCACUGGAUGGACUUGAUCCUGAUACCCUGCCAGUCUUUGCUUUCUAUUUAUCUUUUUUGCUCUCAUCGCAUGCAUUGCAUGAACUGGCUUUUUAGAGAGAGCAUCCGUGAAUUGUUUAGCAUAUAUAAUAAAUAUCCUGGAUUUUGUUUGGUAAAGGGGGCCCUCAGGAGUCGAUCGAAGCUAUCCUGGGUUCAGAAUCGGUGUUCACCAGAGGUAUCAAAUAUCUUCGCAAAAUAAGAGUUAGCCCUUGCUUGGCUUGAGUGUAAUUUUUGUGUGCUACCCAGUAUCUAGCUAUCUUGUCUAGUUUUUUCCUUGGUUGGGUGAUAGGAGAAGCAACACGUGUUUUUAUUUAUUCGAGGAGCAACACAAUUGUUGACCCUAGUUUCUUAUAGUUGGUCAACCGCACAGCCUCACCAUAGAGCUCCUUGACCUUAUUGCACUAGAACAAAUUAAUUAUUAUGUGGGUUCUACCAUCACACUAGUAGAAAAAUGGUCAUCUGUCCCGGUUGGUAAGGGCCUUUUGUCCCGGUUGUUGAACUGGGACUAAAGGGUCGUUACUAAUGCCCUAGCCCUUUAGUCCUGAUUCUUACACGAACCGGGACAGAUGGGCCUCCACGUGGCCGCUGUGGCCAGCCCAGGCAGGAGGGCCUUUGGUCCCGGUUGGUGACACCAACCGGGAUCAAAAGGCAUCCACGCGUCAGCAUUUCAGUGGCUGGGGUUUUUGUUUUUUUAAAAGGGGGAGGGUUUAGGGGGUAAUUUAGGGUGUGUAAGCUAGCUAACAGAGAGAACUGUCCUCUCUUAUUUCCGUGCUUGAUUUACCAACGCUAUUGCUAUGCCUAAACAUGGCUUAGAUUAAAGUGAAGGCAACAUGUGGUGCAUGUCGAAAGUAAUAUUAAUCCUAACUUGAUCAAGUUUGGAUUAGUACUAUUUUCGACAUGCACCACAUGCUUGUUGCCUUCACUUCAUUCCAAUCCAUGUUCAUUUCACCCACUGAUAUAUAAUAACUCUUAAUGCCCGCAUCAUGCAUCAUCAUAAUAACAAGUCCUACUAAUUAUCAUCAUACAACUUCUACUCGUUAUUAAUAACAAGUCAUAUGAUCAUCAUCCUCAUAGUCAUCGAACCAACCUUACUUAAUUGUUCUUAGCACAUGAUCAUCAGUAUUAGGUAGGACCUAAAUACCUUCUUUAAGGUAAAAUAGCAUAAAACAAUAUAGACCCCGACUCUCCAUUAUGGAGAAUGGAGAUCAUCCUGUCUCCAAUUUUUGCGCUUCACUUCCUUUUGCUUCCAAGAACCUUCUUGCGACUGUCCAUACAUUUUUUUUCAUUCUUUGAUUUUCAUGUCUCCACUUAUUUUAGAAAUCCGGUAUGGACAGUUGAGAUUCGUAGGAUGACCUGGUUGUAUUCAAAACAUCAAGGCUACCAUUCUGAUACAUUAAAUGAGGCACACAAUCCUCUGGGAUUAUCUGUUAAAAACAUAGUAAUAACUUCAUAGUUAGCAAUGAUGUACUAGUUUUAGAAGUAUGCAAAAGAUGCAUGGAUGUCGUAAUAGUAAGAAAUCUUACCAGGGCAUCUCCAUAGUAGUUACCGUAGUUCAGCACGUGCACUAGUGGCAUGUAUUGACCAUAAUGUGGAGGAGUUUUACAAUAGAUAUUGUAAUUCUCAAGAUCAGUACAAAAUCCGACCAGAUGAGUUUUCCCCUUAUAAGUUAACUCAGAGCCAUCGGUGUAGUAGGUUCUGUCUACCAUGUUCCGCACAUUGUUUGAACAAUCAAAAUAAGCUAUCAAUGAAAAUAAGCUGUCAACUAUUUUGAAAUGAACAAUAUAAAUUAGCUAAUAACUAUGUUUGAGAAACUCACAUAGCGGUAGAAUUGGAGGCGUAUCAACAAGGACCCAAAUGUCCAUAUUGUCUUGCUCGAUGUCAGGAUCACCAAGAUCCAUGGUGACAAGCAUACCCUCAUCAAAACCAUACAUCUUGCAAAAUGCUUCCCAAUUUUUGCAACCAAAAUGGGUUACGCUCUCAGAAUUAUACAGAUUUACUUUAAAAUCUAUAUCAUGAUGGGUCUUUAGGUGAAUUUUCUUUGUUUUCAUACUUUCAUGGUCUUCAAAACCCAUCCUCUUCAAGACGUAGCGUCUUGCAUGACAUGGGAUAAGCUAGUCGAAUUGUAAAAGAUGAAAAGUACACGUUGAAAUAGUUGAAGUCGUGCUUAAUUACGAAAAAAUAACACUUGUCGUCGUUGCGUACCGUUUCAACAUCGAAUGUCUCCUCCAGCUUAAUACUGAAGCACCGAUCUUCGUCCAGGUGAGGCCUGUCGCACAGACCUCGGUCGUCGUGGUACCAGUCGCACUCCCCCUGGAGACUUUUGUCGUCCGAGUACGACAUUUCCUAUGUUCAUAAUUCAAAUAUUAAACGUCUACAAUUAAAUAUAUGUACUAAAAAACCUAAGUUAGAUCAUUAUUAUUCAUCACGGGUUGACUAUCGGUUUGUCGAGUCUUUUCUUGAAAACUCUCAGCUCACGUGGUGUAUACAUUCGACCGUUGGUGAUGGUCGCUCCUCCUUUCAUCCCCGAGUGCAUUACACCAAAAUGUCUAUCACACGGGAAUGAAGGAGAAGCGACCCCCACGACAACAGUCGGGAUUCUUCGUCCUCUCAUAUAUAUAUGGUGGAACUCUCCCUCACUGAUUCCUCUCAGAGAUUUGCGACCGUCGGUGAUGGUAGCUCCUUCCUUUCGUUCCCGAGUGCAUUACACCAAAUUGUCUAGCACACGGGAAUGAAGGAGAAGCUACCCCCACGACAACAGUCGGGAUUCUUCGUCCUCUCAUAUAUGGUGGAGACUCAAUAGACUUAAAGUCAACCUGAAAUAUCGUUUAAUUAUCUUUCUAAAACCGGUUCGUGGCUGGUCUCACCUUGAGGUCGGAGGGGGUCGGUGACGGGGACGACGACGGGGAUGAUGGAGGGGGGCUCCUAGAUUUCUGCGAAAACAAAAACCCUAUAAGCUAUCAACUAAUCAUAUGCAUAUGCCUUGCAUACUGCUCUCCAAUUUUAGCAUUCAAAGUAGGAGUAGUUUUCCAAUUUGAGCAUUCAAUAAGCAAAAUCAAAUCACAAAAUAAAGUAGUAUUCAAAUUAGGAUGCAUUCAAUUAUAAGCAAAACUACAUCAUUUCCAUGCGUCCGUACAUCGUCGUAUAUUAUCACUAAUACACCUCGAAUACUAUCAUACAUAUAGCAUCGCUAGUACAGCUAGAACCGUAGCGCCCGACGGGUAUCGGCGCGGGCGGUGGAUACCCAAAGAGAAGGAACCAUCACAGGAUCAUAGCUCCACUGAGAUCCCUGAAGAACCUGCCAGGUAUUGUCGAACCUGCACUCCAAUGCAACCAUGUAGCGACGGACGUGCUCGUCCUCCUCGCUGACACGGUGACGUACCACCUCCGCGGUGUCCGGAAGCCUCGGCACCAUCACUGGCUCACGCGAUCGCCACCAAACAAGGAUCGGGUCACUGACGGGCUGGCUCCUCACCAACCUACGCCCCCCGGAAGGUAGCACCUCCCAAAACCAGCCCGGCGGAGCCCAGUCCCGGACAUGGCCCCUCUGAUCAAGCCGACCUCCUCCGCCGAGUCGACGACGAGGAUGCGGGAUUGGCAUCGUCGACGUCGAUGCGGAAAUAAUUGCUUUAACUAAAAAAAUAAACUAGUUCUAUUAUUUUUCUUGCUAAAAAUAAACUACUUCUAUAGUAAAAUAAACUAGUUUUAUUAAAUCAACUAGUUCAACUACUAAGCACUUACUAUAAAUAGAAUAAAAUAGUACUUACUAAGAAUAAACUAGUUUAACUAGUUCUAUUAUUUUUCUAACUAAUUCUAUUAAACACUUUCUCUUCUUAUUCUAUGAACAAAAUUACAACUGAAAAAAAUCAUAAAAAUUCUAUGAACAAGAUAAAAAUUCUAUGAACAAAAUUACAACAGAAAAAAAUUAUAAAAAUUCUAUGAAAAAAUUGACAUAUUCUUUGCAUAUAUAUGAACACACAAACAUUUGCAUAUUCAACAAUAAUAUCACAAAAAAAAUCUAUGAACAGAAAAAAUUUCUAACUUUUGCAUAUUCAUUUAUGAACAAAUUACAACAACUCAAUUAACUACACAUCUAAAUUAGGAAAAUUCAUAUGAGCUCACUAAGGGGGCGGCGAUCNNNNNNNNNNNNNNNNNNNNNNNNNNNNNNNNNNNNNNNNNNNNNNNNNNNNNNNNNNNNNNNNNNNNNNNNNNNNNNNNNNNNNNNNNNNNNNNNNNNNNNNNNNNNNNNNNNNNNNNNNNNNNNNNNNNNNNNNNNNNNNNNNNNNNNNNNNNNNNNNNNNNNNNNNNNNNNNNNNNNNNNNNNNNNNNNNNNNNNNNNNNNNNNNNNNNNNNNNNNNNNNNNNNNNNNNNNNNNNNNNNNNNNNNNNNNNNNNNNNNNNNNNNNNNNNNNNNNNNNNNNNNNNNNNNNNNNNNNNNNNNNNNNNNNNNNNNNNNNNNNNNNNNNNNNNNNNNNNNNNNNNNNNNNNNNNNNNNNNNNNNNNNNNNNNNNNNNNNNNNNNNNNNNNNNNNNNNNNNNNNNNNNNNNNNNNNNNNNNNNNNNNNNNNNNNNNNNNNNNNNNNNNNNNNNNNNNNNNNNNNNNNNNNNNNNNNNNNNNNNNNNNNNNNNNNNNNNNNNNNNNNNNNNNNNNNNNNNNNNNNNNNNNNNNNNNNNNNNNNNNNNNNNNNNNNNNNNNGCAGGUGCGACGACGGCGACGGCGAGGCGCAGAGGGGCAGCCUGGCGGCGUCGCCGGGGCGGGAAAGACGAACUGAAUGAAAAAUUUCACAAGUGCUAGUUAUAUAGACGAAGCAUUGGUCCCGGUUCGUGACAGCAACCGGGACGAAUGCGACCUUUAGUCCCAGUUGGUGCCACCAACUGGGACCAAAGGCCUCUUUUCAGCAGCCCAAAGGGCGGGAAGCGGCGACCUUUGGUCCCGGUUGGUGGCACCAACCGGGACUAAAGGGGGGGCAUUGGUACCGGUUAGUGCCACGAACCGGUACCAAUGCACACCUUUAGUCUCGGUUGGUGCCACCAACCGGGAUGAAAGGCCUUGUGCUGCUGCGCCCGCGUCGAAAGUUUAGUCCCACCUCGCUAGUUGAGAGGGGCGCGCAGUGGUUUAUAAGCCCCACUGCCGCACCCCUCUCGAGCUCCUCUCCAUUGCAGGCUUACGGGCCUAAUUGUCACUGCUAUGCCUGAUGGGCUUACUGGGCCUUCUGCGGGCCUGAAUCCUGGCUCAUUGAUGGGUUUCUAGUCGUAUUCAGGCCGUGGUGGCCCAGUAGGUGGCGUAUUUUUUAUUUUUUGCCUUUUUUUGUUUUAUUUUUUGCUUUAUUUAUUUUGUUUUGUUUCUACUUACAACAAAAAACUUAUUUAUUUUAUUUUAUUUUGUUUCUAAUUACUUAUUUAUUUUACUUUAUGAUAAUUCUUUUUGCUAUUAAAGUUUCUAACAAAAAAAGUUCUUUAUGAAAAUNNNNNNNNNNNNNNNNNNNNNNNNNNNNNNNNNNNNNNNNNNNNNNNNNNNNNNNNNNNNNNNNNNNNNNNNNNNNNNNNNNNNNNNNNNNNNNNNNNNNNNNNNNNNNNNNNNNNNNNNNNNNNNNNNNNNNNNNNNNNNNNNNNNNNNNNNNNNNNNNNNNNNNNNNNNNNNNNNNNNNNNNNNNNNNNNNNNNNNNNNNNNNNNNNNNNNNNNNNNNNNNNNNNNNNNNNNNNNNNNNNNNNNNNNNNNNNNNNNNNNNNNNNNNNNNNNNNNNNNNNNNNNNNNNNNNNNNNNNNNNNNNNNNNNNNNNNNNNNNNNNNNNNNNNAAUUCCUUUUGCUUUUAAUGAUUUUGAACAAAAAUACUUCGAUAAUUUUAGUUGCAUCAAUUUUAUAUAAUUUUAGUUUCAAUAAUACUAGAGGUUUCUUAUAAUGUUUUGAACAGAAAAUACUUUGUUAAUUUUAGUUUCAUAAAUUUUAUUAAAGUUUAUUUUAUUUUGUUUCUACUUAUAUAUUUUAAUAAAGUUUAUAUUAUUUUGUUUCUAAUUACUUAUUUAUUUUAUUUGUUAUUUUUCAUGCACCAUUUUUCAUGCAUUUACUGAUUAUUUUAAGCUAUAAGACCCUAAAUUUGAAAAGCAUUUCAAAUGAACUCUGAAAAGGUUGAAAGUUGGCAUGGUAUCAUCAUUUCAUCCACAUAGCAUGUGCAAGAAAGUUGAGAAGGUUACGGCAAAAACUGGAUGCACUUCGUGUACAAAACGGACAAUCUCUUUCAAAGUAUCAGGAUUUCAUACGGAAACUCGUCUGUUACAAAAGGAUUUUAUUUUUUAAAACUUAUUUGAACUCCUGACUUUUUGUGUGUUCAAAAUGCACCAUUCAAAGCCACAUCAUCAUUUUUCAAUCCUUUCUGACUUCAUUUGUUAUUUUUCAUGCAUUUACUAAUUAUUUUGAGCUAUAAGACCCUAAAAUUGAAAAGCAUUUCAAAUGAACCUGAAAUUGAAAAACCCUACAAAUGAACUCUGAAAAGGUUGAAAGUUGGCAUGGUAUCAUCAUUUCACCCACAUAGCAUGUGCUAAAAAGUUGAGAGGGUCUCGGCAAAAGCUGGAUGCACUUCGUGAACAGAAUGGACAAUCUUUUUCGAAGUAUGAGGGUUUCGGAGGAAAACUCAUCUGUUACAAAGGGAUUUCAUUUUUUUAAAAUUUUUUGAACUCCAGACUUUUUGUGUGUUCAAAAUGCACCAUUCAAAGCCACAUCAUCAAUCUUCAACCCUUUCUGAUUUCAUUUGUUAUUUUUCAUGCAAUGACGGAUUGUUUUGAGCUAAAUGACCCUGAAAUUGAAAAGCCCUAUAAAUGAUCUCUGAAAAGGUUGAAAGUUGGCAUGGUAUCAUCAUUUCACCCACAUAGCAUGUGCUAAAAAGUUGAGAGGGUUACGGCAAAAGCUGGAUGCACUUCGUGAACAAAAUGGACAAUCUCUUUCGAAGUAUCAGGGUUUCGGACGAAAACUCAUCUGUUACAAAGGGAUUUCAUUUUCUUGAACUUAUUUGAACUCUAGACUUUUUGUGUGUUCAAAAUGAACCAUUCAAAGCAGAGACUGAUUUUGAAUGGUGCAUAUUCAACACACAAAAAGUCUGUAAAGAUCGCCAACCCCAACAUAAAAAAAGAGCAUAGAUGCGCCUAUAGAGAGAAUUCAACCUAAAUUCAUAAUAAAUUUCUAUGAAUUUUAAAGAAAUUUACUCUGAAUUUAGGUCAAAUUCCCUGUAUAAGGGCAUCUAUUUUCACUUUGAGAGGAGCUCAACAAAGCAGAGAGGGACGGGCUUAUAAACCGGUGUGAGCGCCCACUAGUACAAAACAGGGCUUUCGUCACAGGGCAAUUUUCACAUUAGUCCCGGUUCAGUCACGAACCGGGACUAAUGUGAGCAUUGGUCCCGGUUCGUGCGGCUAAGGCAUUAUUUCCGGUUCACCUGGGCCCUUUAGUCCCGGUUGGUGCCACGAACCGGGACUAAAGGGUGCGAUGCCCAUUAGUACCGGUUGGUGGCAUCAACCAGGACUAAAGGUUAGUCUAACCUUUAGUCCCGGUUGGUGCCACCAACCGGUACUAAUGGUCUUUGAGGCAUUAGUACCGGUUCAUGGCACGAACCGGUACUAAAGGGCUCAUUUUCAAACUCUACCCCCCGGACCGCCUUUUCAGUUUUAGAAAAAACGAAAGAAAAUGAUGGAAAUGUCAAAAAAAUAAAAUAAAAUAAGUUUCCCAUGUGAUAUGUGGUCUAGUUGUUGGGAAAAUUAACAAAUAUGAAUUUCGACUUUAUUUGCAAAAUCUCUCUGGAAUUUCUUAAAAUGGGCAUAACUUUUGCAUACGAACUCGGAUGAAAAAGUUUUUUAUAUGAAAAAUCAUCUACUCGAAAAGUUACAUCCGAAUUUAACUGGGGAACCUUGUUAAACAUUUUCAAAAUCCUCAAAAACCUAACAGAAAAAAGAUACGGGGCUUUUAAGAUCUGGAGAGGCAAAAAAUUUCAAAUUGUGGUCAAACUGUGGUCAAACAAUGGUCAAACUAAUUAUUCUAGAAUAUUAGUGUUACUAAAUAAUUAUUUUAGUUUUUUUUGAAUUUUGGUCAAAUCUGGUCAAACAGUGGUCAAACAAUGGUCAAACUAAUUAUUCCAGAAAUAUUAGUGUUACUAAAUAAUUAUUGAUUUUUAAAACAAUAGUUUCAAACUCAAACAGUGAAAUGUGUCACUUCAUGCUCAAGCUAAAUUCCUGAGGGUUAAUACAAUUGACAUCUUACUAUUGUGAGGAAAACAACAAGUGCAGACUUGGAAACGAGGGAGAAUAGAACCCGGAAGUUAAGCGUGCUCAGGCUGGAGUAGUGAGAGGAUGGGUGACCGUUCGGGAAGUUAGAUGAUUUGGAAUGAUGAGGGGUGAUUAGAGAUUAGAGGAUAAAUUGAGCAGUGAUGAGGGGUGGUGAUUAGAGAUUAGAGGUUAAAAUAAUUCAGAAAUUUGAAAAUCAAAAUUUUUUUUAAAAAAAAUUCGCAAAUUUUUUUUUCAAAAAAAAAAUCAUAAAAUUUCCUUUAGUCCCGGUUGGUAACACCAACCAGGACUAAAGGUGGAGCUCCAGGCUGCGUUCACGUGGACGGCCUUUAGUCCCGGUUCGUGUAAGAACCGGGACUAAAGGGGGGAGGCAUUAGUAACGACCCUUACCAACCGGGACAAAAGCCCCCUUUUCUACUAGUGGCCCUUCAGUUGGCGAGGUGGGACUGAACUCUGACCGCAACGAGGACCAACCCUUUAGUCCCUGUUUGUGGCACAAACCGGGACUAAUGGUCAUGGGCCAGGGGCGAGGCGCAUUGGUCUCGGUUCGUGCGUGGAACCGGGAUCAAAAGGUCCAGACGAAUCGGGACCAAUGGCCCACAUGGCCCGGCCGGCCCCGUGGGCUCACGAACCGGGACAGUUGCCUCCUUUGGUCAACUGUCCCGGUUCGUGAGCGAACCGGGAUUAAUGGUAUUACGAGGGCCGAACCAAUGCCCUGUUUUCUACUAGUGCUCAACACAUGCACAUCAAUGAAAAAAAACGAUUUUAAUGCAAGAUGAGGGUAGCAACAUCCAAGAACACAAGCAACCAUGUGUGUUUAAUUCGGCAACUAACCAUGGCCUAUUUUUGUGUGAUAUUUAUUUCUGAUGGCCUGAAUUACUAGUUGCUGGAUGGAACGCCGAUUUGGAUGGUGGCGCCCCACGACGAACGGUGAUGUUCCAGUAGGCAGUCAGUUGCAAGGAGUCCCAUUGGAACUCUCCUUGAUUAGGUGAGAAGUCAUCCCUACAUUUGGAUGUUAAUUAAUAAAUGUGCAUGCCACUGCUGUUAUGAAAAUGACAGAAGCAGCUAUCAGGCCCUUCUAAGUGAGGAAAAAGCCACCUAAAUUAUGUCUGGUCGGCGGAGCGCCGUUCUCCGGUUGAAUUUCUGUUGAAUGACACUGGUUGUUGCUGUGUCCAGGAUUUUGCUAUACUAGGAAACUAGGAAAUACCUUGACGUAUCAGAGAGAUGGAAAACAUCAUCCACCGGUGCGCCACUGACACGCAUUGGCCCUGGCUGUAUCCCACAUACCAUUUUUCACCAGCAUUAUGUUUGUGCCUUCUCUUUUUGUGUGUGUUGGUACUCUAAAUUUCCCCAAAAUUAGAUCAGCAGUGACAAGAGUCCUGCGGCCCUGAUUGCGAUAGAAGAAUGACAAGUUUCAUUUUGGGAGAACUAGACAUGAUGAUAUAUUUUCGGAUUGCAAUUUGGUAGGUAUGAUCUUCACCAGUUAGCCUGUUCAGUCACUGCAUUGUGAGCACCUGAAGGCUUCUCUCUAAUAUUGCUGUCAAGCACUGUAGCUUAGCAGCUGCCCCUUGCAAUUACUUGCACUCCAUCUGCUUAAUAAUGUGGAGAGAGACGGGGAUGCCCGGUGGAAUCAAAUGGUGGUAGUUGGUUAGUGUUCCACUAAUGACAUUGCAAACAAGACUUGUCUUCCUAAGCAUUUUUUGUGAUUCCUAUCUCAGAUGAGCAAGAGAAGGUAUCAUUUGCCUCCUUUCUUGCAAGAAUUUGUUAAGAAUGCAAAAGGGUAAAAGGUUUACAGAAAGGCUUGGGGUGCAAGGAUCCCAUCAAGGGCGGGAAAGUGCAUUUUUACAAUCUGAUGGCGACGCUUUAAUCCUCCCUUCUGAAGUAAGGCAAUUGCUGCUUUACCAGACUGUCAAAGAGGCUACUGCAUUAAGAAAAUGGCAGUCACAUCACACCCAUCAGAUGCCUAGAAGCUUCAUCAAGCUCUCAAAAAGGGCUGGUUAAUCAUGCUAAUUAGCGCUAAACAACACGCAACCGCCUUCAUCGAGCUGGGAGAAAUACCCUCCGCGUUCCAAACGGGGCCUAACCUUUUCACAUUCGAAAGGAUCGUCGAGAAAAGGCCAUGUUUAUGCCCCUUAGCCACACAAUAAUGUGGAAGUCCCCUUCUGUAAAUCCUGGCCUGGACUUUACAUCCAGGCAUCCAGCCAGUCAGCACAUUCUCAUUGGCUGUGGAGGGAGAACAGUCAGUCCCUGUUGGCUUACUGUUCCAGGAAAAACCCUAUCCCUGCCUUUCACCUUCCAUGAAUGCACAUGGCAAGCAUUCCCAUGGCAAUGCAACAGCCUGCUUUUGACAACUUUGAUUGCUCCCCCUAGAACAUUACAAAACCCUGGCCUUCACUACAGAUGCAGUGACCAUGACAGGCUCUUUCACCGUCCAUUGUGGCAAUAAUGCCUGCCUUUUUCGCACCUCGUUUUCUCGGCACGGCGCGUGAAAACAUUAUACUCCCUCCGUCCCGCAAUAUAAGAUCGUUUUCCAAGCUACUACUAGUGUGAAAGAAUGAGGGUAAGAACUAACAAUGUGCAUAAGCGGAGAGUUGUAGGGCUGCUUUACAGAGCGAGGGCAGUGUCUGUUCUUGUGUGUGUGCAAGAUGUGGUGCAUCUAGCAACAUAAGCGAAGAGGAAAUGUGUGUGACUGUACAAUUAUUUGGUUUUAUCUUUUCCAUUUGCAGAAAAGGUAUUCCAAGAACAACAUUAAAGCCGGGCGGCCACGCAUAUUUCCCUGUGGCUGAUGGCUACCUCCAGCAAUGGAAAUGGAAGGGAAGGCAGACAAGUGCAAUCAGAUUCUUGCCAAUUGUCUAUGCAAUUCUCAGGUAAGAAAAGAAUCAGAUGGUCCAAAAUUUCGAAUUUUCAAUACUCGCUGCGCCUUUAUGCUCUUCGGUGGAAAUGUCCUCGAAAAUUCAUGGCAAUUCGGCAUCCGGUGCUGCUACGCGUGAGAAUGGAGGACGAUGCUUGUUUAGUAAAAGCAUGGUUCAUAAUCAUACCAGGUUCUUCAUGAACAUGUUUCAUGGACAGUGCUUGUUCAUGAAAUCCGGGAUCUGUUACAAUCCAUCCGAUGUUGACCUAUACGCUUUCGAAGAUGUGAUUCUAUUCAAAUCUCUGAACCAAGAAACAUAAUUUCCACUUGCAUUUGCAUCUUGUACAAUUUGUAAAAAAAAAGAAGCUAAAUCAAUUUCUCCAAUUAGCAAUGACUGAAUCUGAUCUGGGGCUCCAUGGACCUUGCACUGUGCAACUACUGAUGGAGCAAUGUGGCUGAACAUGAGCACAGCAGCCUUUGCCCCCACCGACCACAUGGGCUUAAGGAACACAGAAAGCAGGUUAGUGCAUGCAUUAGCCCAUAUGCAGCUGCUCAUAACCACUAUUCAAUUGAGCACAAGUACAAACCGGCCGAGGUUUAAUUUAAGAGGGGCAGAUCCUUAGUCUUGGUUUCUGCAAGAAGGAAUCAAAAGAACGAUUGUUUAAUUUCCGUGCGCGAUCGGUAGAUCGCGUUUGCGAUGCCCACCAUGCUUUUGGUAAGAUCUGAAUUACAUCUCAAACUGUUAGGAAAUUCUCUUCUUUGAUGUGAAAUAGUUUUUGGCUGCAUUUAGCGUGCUUCGAAUGAUAAAAUUCCGCUCUUUAUUCUCUGGAGAAUUGUUUAGUGUGGCCUUUUGUUCCCAUAUAGCUCUGCUUUUUAUUCACCUUCUUUGGAUGAUAAGAUCUCAAUUACAUUUCCACUGUUAAGAGAUUCUCUUCUUUGGUAUGAAAUAGUUGUUGGCCACAUUUAGCGUGCUUCGGAUGAUAAAAUUCUGCUCUUUAUUCUCUGGGAGAAUUAUUUAGGGUGGCCUUUGUUCCAAUAUAGUUAUGCUUUUUAGUCACCUCCUUUUAUAUUUAGUAUAAAGUGUUUAUUCUGUAUAACCUUUGCAUCUCCCAUAAAGGAUAUUUCUGGUCUUGUUUAUGGUUAAGGACUACUCACUUUGUAUGAGAGAAUUUAUUGGCUAAUAUAUAUAAAGCUGCAAACCUGCCAUACAUCAAAACAAUAAUCUGAAAUUCCAUAACCUCUAAUUAAGGCCCUAAUUGAUUGUAGCUUAUGGAGCCUUGUCAAGCUCCAAGGGACAUUAUGUCCUAUCUAACCACAUGCACAGGCUGCUGUCUCACUAAUUCCAUGUAUAAUGCAUGAGCCAACCUUUGGACUCAGGUGACCCUAUGAUCCAAAAGCCACAAUCAAUGGCAAACAAGAUCCCUUUUCCUCUUAUCAUUUUUUUCUUCUCUUUCCUCCUGUUAGAUCUUCAUGUUCACAAAUUAUCAAGAGGUGACAGAUGUACACCAGCAGAACAACCUCACAAUAAUAAAGAUACAUUGGAGAAAAAUAUGUACUUUCUCUCUUCUCCACACACACAUACAGAAAAGCAGAGAACGCCUUGGACGCAACAGCUCAUGUUAAAAGUACAACUAAGUACUCUAGCUCUGUUGAGUGCCUCAAGAUUCUUGAGAGGCGCCACCAAGAACACCAAGGUCCAUGGCGCUUUUCCCUCGAGGUGCAUUGCCCGAUAUGCCUUGUAUUUCUCUUUUCUGAUGAGUUUUCAUGCUGCAAGCAACGUCUACUUUUUAAAGCUGUAAUGUGCAAAUUAUGUAUGUGCACAUCAUGCAACCAGAUCAGGCAGAAGGAUGGCCUGGGCGGUUCACUUGACCGACGAGAAGGAAAAUUUAGCGUUUGUGUGAUUUAAAAACUGCACUGUCAAUUCAAACCAAUCAUGCUCAUAUAGUCAUAUACACACCAGGAUGUGGCUCAUUUUUUUGUCAUGGCCAGGAGCAACUGAGCAAGCAACCCCUCAAUGCAUCCACACCUGGAGCAUCAGGUUGCUUCCACUGAUGGUAACUCCCAAGACACUCAAACAUGCAAAAUAUUUUCUUGUGCCUACGGAAAUCUCCGACGAUCGCCGUCGCCUGCCUCCCGGGACCGGAGCACCGGAGCGGCUGACCGGAGAUGGAGAGGUUGUUCUCGCCUAGAAAGGUGGUGGCUGGCUGAGGAGGGGGAAGUGAGUGACCACCAUGGCCGUCCUUGAUUCCCUGCCAUUUGCAGCAUGGAUGGCCUCUGCAAUGUCUCCACUGUGUGGGAGGGCCGGCUCUACUCUACUCCACUCCCAUGAAUGCAGCUAAGCUACCUCCAGGCCCAGUGCACCAAAUUGCACACCUCUUGCAGCCAGUGGUCCUCCAUUGGCACCCCAUAUGUGUGCAAGCAUGUGUGUGUGCACUGGUACAAGUGCUAACCAAAGUUACACAAGGGAUGCAAGACCAAGAUGCAGAUCACAUCCUGUGGUGGCAGCUGCUGAUCCUGGCACUCCUGUUAGGAUCAUGCCUGCAUGCAUGCAUGAGAUUCAUGUGUGUGUGAUAGCUAGCAGAAGGAUCAUCAUCAAUCAGGCUGCUGCUGCAUGUGGUUUGGUGGGUAGGUACCAGUACCAGUACCAGUACCAUACCAUACCAAGAAGAUAUCAUGUGAGCUGGAGCCAGAUGAAAAAUGCAUGGUUUUGAGUCCAUUUUCAUCAUUUUCUGAAGGAAAAGGAGAAUGGGUUUGAGGUGAAAUAUCAUCAGUGAGUGAGCUAGCUAGCUAUGCCAUGAGAGGCUACUGGCAGUGGUAGUGCUGCUGCCAUUAGUUUUGCAGAGAUGGAGAUGCAGUAGCAGUACAUGCAUGCACUGUGCCUGUGUACAACAGAGUUGGUCCAUGCAUGCAUGACAACCAGGAAAAAGUGCCCUGUGGUACAAUCAGAAUUCUCGGGAAUCAAUAGUGGAGGGGAACAUAGAGGGUAAAUUGGAGAAUCUCUUUCUGUGGGCAUGCACAACCGUCCACCUGUUGGUGCUGUGUACUGAGAAAAUUCUGAGAAAUAUUGUCAAAAUUGGUGAAUGAAGAAAAAAACCUAUGGGCCAGUUGUUUUUAUUCCAUUCUCAAUAUAUUCCAGUCACAAAAGACUGGCUGCUAUCACUCUCUGGUUAUUCCCUUCCCACUCUACCCUGUGGGUGGAAUAUCAUGAGGAUUUCCAGAACAUUGUGCAUUGAUUGGCAUCACAUGAAUGUACUAUGCAGUAGCUGUGAAAUGUGAAUCUAGUUUUCUUUUUUGAAAUGAGAAUGUGAAGCUAGUUUAAGCCAGGCAGAGCAAGAUAGUAAUUAGUGGCAUUAUUUACCAGAGCACAUCACAAUUGAAAGACAGAAGAAAAAAAGUUGCUCCAAGGUAGCAGAAAUAAGACAUUCAUGGCAGUAAAAGGCACUUUAGCAGAGCACAUCACAAUUCAGAGUCGGAGAAGGAAAAACCUGCUCCAAAGUAGCAGAAAUAAGAGAAAUACAUUCAUGACAGUGAAAAAGGAAAUCAUGAGAUGAUGAGUAAGUAAGUAGAGUAAUUAUAUAUGGCACUUGCUUUGUCUGAACAACAACAGCACAGGCAGAGAGAGCUUACUGCUUCUUCCUUCUUACAUAGGGGAUCACAUGAUGGUGAUGCAUGCUAAGCUUAAGAACCAUCAUCACUUGGUAAACACACCAGUUCAGAUUACACAUGAUAAUUAUAAACUAAUUAACCCCAGCAGCUAGCUUAGUUAGGUGCGGUAAAAACUCCACGGCUCUCCAGUUUUUGUAGUACUAGUAAUUAACCUGAAACACCAGAAGCAUCAGGAAAAAAGAUGGAUGAUCUCUUUUGUUGCGCUCGCUCUUGUGCUGCUGCCAUGGCCGUGGCGUGGGUGCUAG